GCUUACCAUCAUGCUGUUCUUGUGAUAGCGAGUGAGUUCUCAAGAGAUCUGAUGGUUUAAUAAGAGGUUUUCUCCCUUUUGCUUGGCACUUCCCCUUGCUGCUGCCACCAUGUGAAGGAGGACGUGUUUGCUUCCCCUUCUGCCUUGAAAAUUUCUUGAUGCCUCCCCAACCAUGCUGAACUGCAACAAAAAUGAAGUCUUCUGACCCACUACCAUAUCUGGGUAAAAUCUUUGGCUCAACGGAUGGCUUAAAUAUGACAAAUAAAAAGGCCAUGUUGUAAAGAUGGAAUCACAAGAUGGCACCUGCUUGGAUUCCUAAGUCACUCCCUACUGGAAGGAGGCUUUCCUGGAGACUCUCUAGAACUGCAGCAGACCUUAUAUGGAAAUAACAGAACAUAGAAACAAGGAGAGAUGUACAGUGCUAUUCACUUGCAAAAUUCUUCGUGAACCUCCCUGCUUCUUCAGCAGAGGGCACUCUGCAAUGAAAAGUGCUUGGAAGCCGAGGAUGCUAUCUUUGCAAUGUAAUAUCCAAGAAUACAGUCACAAUGUAACAUCGAGAAUACAGCAAAAGAACUGCCUUCCCACUUUAACUUGUCUAUCUAUGGGAAACUCGAACGGUCAUGCUAUGGUGCUUAGAUAGGGGUGAAUACACACCUAUUCAUGAUUAGUUUGUAGCUCACUCUCCACCUCAGUGUUAUCCAAACUACCCAAGCUGCCUUCUUCCUUCUUGGUCUAUCAUGAGGAUCUAUAUGUAGCAAAGCGAUCAAUCCUAUGAAUGCUGAGAAAUCACUACAAAUUGCUGAAAAUAUCAAUGUUCUGGCAUGAAAACCCCUUAUUUAAAAAUUGACAGUUUCAAAUGGAAAACACUAUAGAAUUAAACCUUCCUUUCUGCUCCAAAACAAUACUGAAGGUAGAAUACCCCUUCCUUCUACUUUCCCAGCCCCAUUGCAUGAUUAUAGUUAUCAUGGUCCAGGAGCCUCAGUUGUCUAAACAGUUGGGACCAUAGAGAAUGCUGUAGAAAUGAAAGCAUAUUUAACAGAAUAGACUUUAACCAGGGCUCAGGUUCUGCCACUUAUUUAGCUUGCAAUUCCUUGGUUCCUUAUUGCCAAAUUAGUACAUAGCAGAUAUGAGAAACUAAAUGAGAUGAUGUAUGUCAAGCGUUCAGUGUUUGGUGUAGCAAGCACUCUGGACAUUUCAGCUCUUGUCAUCAUUAAUAAAAAUGGUAUUUCUCUGUCAAUGACAUAUGCUUCUCAUCAUUUCAUUACUUUCCACUCUUAGAAUAUAUUCACUUUGUCAAUUGUACUUCAAUAAAGCUGAAAAAUGAAUAUAUUCACUUGUUUUGAUUUUUUAGAAUCAUAAAAGUAAUAUAGUUAUAUCAACAAUUUAACAGUAAGGG
rnacentral:lncRNA from 1 species